GCCGGGAUGCUGCUGGGCGAUGACCCACAGCUUCAGGUGGCUGCCGGGAUGGCGCCUGACCCGCAGCAAUUCGAUGUCGCGGCCUUGCACACUGGUGCCGACGGCGAGCCGUUCGACGCCCUCGAUGCCGAGCGCACGUUCGACCAGGCGGGCAUGCCGUUCGCGGCUGUAGGGCUCGAAGUAGGCGAAGCGGACUUCGCUUUCCUCCGGUUCCAGCUGGAAAUGCAGGCC
rnacentral:sRNA from 1 species